rnacentral:rRNA from 1 species
GACGAACCGAGCGAACGUUGUUCGGAAUCACUGGGCUUAAAGGGCGCGUAGGCGGCCUGUCAAGUCUGGGGUGAAAUCCCGCGGCUCAACCGUGGAACUGCCUUAGAUACUGACGGCCUCGAGGGAGAUAGGGGCGAGCGGAACUGAUGGUGGAGCGGUGAAAUGCGUUGAUAUCAUCAGGAACUCCGGUGGCGAAGGCGGCUCGCUGGACCUUUUCUGACGCUGAGGCGCGAAAGCUAGGGGAGCAAACGGG